rnacentral:lncRNA from 10 species
CUCUGGGGAGCCGGGCUCUGGGCACUGGCGAAGGUGUACCGGGGGCGGCGGCCGAGCGGCCAAGGACACCUGCAGGCUUCCCGGGCCGCGCGGAGAGGGAGCCUCAGCGCAACGCCCCGGCGCCUGGUUCCUGCGAUCUGGCGGCGCUGGGAGCCACGCCAUCUACGCGUCUGCCCAUCUCCGGGCGGGGCGCCGGCCUUGGCUCGCGCGCGGCAGGGGGCGGGCGCGAGGUGGCAUAGGGGAGGGGGCGCCUCGGCGCCGGUGGGCUGGGGCCCUAGGGGCUCAUGGUCUCCCUCCGGCGCUGGCAGCGGCCGCCACGCCCCAGUGGCGCCUUUUCCUCCGGGGCCCCGCCUCGCCCAGACGCGCCCUUCGCGGGGCGGGGUGGGCGGGGCGCGGCGCAGCGCGGGGCCGAUCCGACUCACUGCAGGCCCUGGCGACCGAGCGCAGUCUUCCUCCCCGGAGCCGAGCCCCAACCAAGCGCGUCACCUCCUCGCCGCCAGUGCCCAGCCCAGCGCGCCGCCCCUGCGCGCUUCCGCCGGCAACCCCUCCCGCCCCCCUCAGCCCUGCUCCGCGCCUCCCCCGGGCCCGCAGCUCCUCCCACCGCAGCCCGCUGACACCGAAGCGCUCUCGACCCCUGACCUCUAACCUCCGCCCGGCUCUUCUUGCUUCGUCCCUCGCCCCCUCCCCGCCAAGCUGGUCGCACUGUUGCCGUUUCACUGCGGCUGACGGAAGGCCAAGGAAGAAAGAGGGUAGAGACGCUGUCGCGAGGAUCAGGCUGCCCUCUCCUUUCCCAGGGACCGUGUUGGGGCCUUCUGACCACCCCGCCCCGCAUCCUGCGCCUCGGAGGCCCAACGUAGCCCAAGACACCCAUGGUCUUGAUGCUCUCCGCCUCUGUCCCAGCCACCAAAGUCCCCGCGAUGGAAUGGAGGACGGGGUGGCCUUGGGCAGAGAAGCGCUUCUUGUGCCGGAUGGAAGGAAACCGUAGCUCUGGCUGUGUUCAUCGCGAAAUGUUUUAUGGAUGUGGAGUGGGUGGGUGGCCCUGAAAAGUCAUUAGUUAAAGCCUUUGCUCGUCAUUGCUCUGGGGUCCACAUAGGAAAUGCCCGUGUCCUGCCUCAUGACCCCUUCCUGUUUCUACUCUUAUUCUACCCAUUACAAUUUGACUUUGCCUGUGUAUAUGUCUCCUCUCCCUUCAGGCAGCCUCCAUGCCUGUCUGGAUGAUGUAAAGAGAUCUUGAGGCAGAAAUGAAAGGUGAAUGACACACCUGCCCUGGACACCUGUGCACCUUCCCAGUUCCAGAUCAGGCAGUACCUAGCUCAACUGAGAAAAACAAGACAAGGGCCUAUGUGUGUCUCAGGAAAGGUUAAAAGCUCAGUGCCAAUGCAAGGGAUUUUUACAAGCAAAAGUCUCAUUAUUAAUGAGGCCAGAAAACCAAAAUGACAAUGAUCUUUGAUGAUCUGUACUGACACGCAGGGGAGGUGAGUUAAUCAGAAACACACAUUUACUGGCACCCCCUUUGUGCCCAGUCCCUGCUCCUCGAAACUGAUGUUUGUAUUUCAGAGUUUAGCUGUCUUUGAGUUUGCUGCAGUGAAAAGAAAUAUCCCAAGUGUGACUGGGAAGAGAAGACCCGGGACAGGCCAGAAACUGGAGUGAGGAAGAAAGAACCACAGAAUAUUAAUGUAAUGAAUAACUUUCAAGUCCUAUCUGGUCCGUGUCCUGGCAAAGUCCCUUGGGGUCUCUCCCCUGCUUUCCGUUCAUCAGGAUGACUGAGCUCAGUAAUUGUAACAAAGGGAGUGUAGUAGGCAAGGGGACAAAACCCAUAGUAUCCCACCCCUGAUUGACUUAUUAACUCAAUGAACACUUAUUGAAUACCUACGAUAUGCCAGAAGCAGUUCCGGGUACUGGAAAUACAUCAGUGAAUAAAACAGCCACUCAUCCUAGUAAAUCUGCCCAACUGGUGCUUCCACUCUGCGGUGCUUGUGGAUAGUGA